CUUUGCCCGUUCUUCCUCCUCUUCCGACUCUUCCUAAUUUCAACUUUUUUUCUCAGUCGGGACAAGGCUCCAAUAACUAUGUGGUAGGUGGAUCUUCACCUGGCCAAGCAAGUCCAGUGACACCCACUACGGUUCAUGUCGCUUCGACCUCCCCGCAACAAUGAUCACUUGAGGUUUGCAUUGUGGAUGGCGUUGACGGUGUGCAUAUAUGCUGCGGUGGAGCUCAUUGCAUGGUUCAUGCUUGG